CAUCACAUGGCAGUUUACAAGGUCCCGACAUGGUACCCGUGCUUCAGUUUGAACUUAUCUUUAUACCAGCUCCUCCAGCAUUCGACCCUUCCCCCACAGUUAUUUCCUACUUCCGUCUAUUGUUGUCCAUUUUAGCAGGAACAGCGGUGUCUUCCUGUAGGAAGCACGUUUAAUUAAUUUGAGACAGAGUUUAUCAUCAGUUUCCUUAAAUUGUCCAGUCGUGCCAUUACUGAGAAUAUGUUUAAAAGUCAAUAUUAUUCCGGAGAUAGGGAGAGAUGACAAAGUAGGGUCAAUAAAGCCAUGUCCUCUAGCUCACUCUGUGCCUAGCUAUGCGAUUCAUCCAUGAAAUGAACCUGGUGCCCAGGAAAAACAUAAUUCUCUUUGGCACUGAGACAGGAGGGUAGUGCUCCAGCACAGAGAAGACACUUGGCAAUGACAUACACAAUGCUUCCGACCACAUCCUUACAGGAAAGGAGCAAAUGUAUUACAGGGUCGAUUCUUUGUCACCGUGGCCCCAUGGCCUCACACCAGGAAUGAAAGGAGCCAGCCAGUUAGUGGCAAUUCUUUUGAACAGUCUUGUUUAUUCCGAGAUUAGCUUGGAGGAUACUGAAGGUGUUUAUUUUCAAAUGUGCUUUUAAUCUCCUCAGGCCAUGUCCUCAAUCCUGUCAGAUGGGAAUGACCGGAGCUUCCUCCCUGAUGGCAGGCAGGGCUGCAUAAGGUGAACCCAUGGAAACCACCCAGCAGGCCUGGAAGAGGAGAUGAGCAGAACAGGUGAUGGAACUGGACCUCCACAUCUGGGCCUAGUUGUUGGCCUUCUCUUCUGCUUUGGGGUCCUGCCUUCAGCGAUGAGACUUUCAAAGACGACAUUGUUUCCUGGACAGUAAUGGUUUUCACAGUUCUUUGAUUUCCUUGAACACCCGAAGAAGCAGGAGACCUUGUAAUUCCAUGUGUCUCAUCAUUUCUGCAGACAUACCUGGAGAGCCGAGCUUUCCC
rnacentral:lncRNA from 1 species